CCUACGGAGGGCUGCAGUGGGGAAUAUUGGACAAUGGGGGGAACCCUGAUCCAGCCAUGCCGCGUGUGUGAAGAAGGCCCUCGGGUUGUAAAGCACUUUCAGUGAGGAAGAACGCCUGGUGGUUAAUACCCAUCAGGAAAGACAUCACUCACAGAAGAAGCACCGGCUAACUCCGUGCCAGCAGCCGCGGUAAUACGGAGGGUGCGAGCGUUAAUCGGAAUUACUGGGCGUAAAGCGCGCGUAGGUGGCUUGAUAAGCCGGUUGUGAAAGCCCCGGGCUCAACCUGGGAACGGCAUCCGGAACUGUCAAGCUAGAGUGCAGGAGAGGAAGGUAGAAUUCCCGGUGUAGCGGUGAAAUGCGUAGAGAUCGGGAGGAAUACCAGUGGCGAAGGCGGCCUUCUGGACUGACACUGACACUGAGGUGCGAAAGCGUGGGUAGCACACAGGAUUAGAUACCCCUGUAGUC
rnacentral:rRNA from 1 species